UGGCGGACGGGUGAGUAACGCGUGGGCAACCUGCCCUGUACAGGGGGACAACGGCCGGAAACAGCUGCUAAUACCCCAUAAGCGCACGGUAACGCAUGUUACAGUGUGAAAAGCCGAGACGGUACAGGAUGGGCCCGCGUCUGAUUAGAUAGUUGGUGGGGCAACGGCCUACCAAGUCAGCGAUCAGUAGCCGGCCUGAGAGGGUGGACGGCCACAUUGGAACUGAGACACGGUCCAGACUCCUACGGAAGGCAGCAG
rnacentral:rRNA from 1 species